rnacentral:rRNA from 1 species
UGGGGAAUCUUGCGCAAUGGGCGAAAGCCUGACGCAGCAACGCCGCGUGCGGGAUGAAGGCUCUCGGGUUGUAAACCGCUUUCAGCAGGAACGAAAAUGACGGUACUUGCAGAAGAAGGUGCGGCCAACUAUGUGCCAGCAGCCGCGGUGAUACAUAGGCACCAAGCGUUGUCCGGAUUUAUUGGGCGUAAAGAGCUCGUAGGUGGUUCGGUAAGUCGGGUGUGAAAACUUUGGGCUCAACCCAAAGCCUGCAUCCGAUACUGCUGUGACUAGAGUUCGGUAGGGGAGCGGGGAAUUCCUAGUGUAGCGGUGAAAUGCGCAGAUAUUAGGAGGAACACCGGUGGCGAAGACGCCGCUCUGGGCCGAUACUGACACUGAGGAGCGAAAGCGUGGGUAGCAAACAGGAUUAGAUACCCUAGUAGUCCCUGAGCGGGCUGGCAAGGCGCAU